rnacentral:rRNA from 1 species
AGUGGGGAAUCUUGGACAAUGGGCGCAAGCCUGAUCCAGCCAUGCCGCGUGAGUGAUGAAGGCCUUAGGGUCGUAAAGCUCUUUCGCCAGGGAUGAUAAUGACAGUACCUGGUAAAGAAACCCCGGCUAACUCCGUGCCAGCAGCCGCGGUAAUACGGAGGGGGUUAGCGUUGUUCGGAAUUACUGGGCGUAAAGCGCGCGUAGGCGGGUUGUUAAGUUAGAGGUGAAAUCCCAGGGCUCAACCCUGGAACUGCCUUUAAUACUGGCAACCUAGAGUUCGAGAGAGGUGAGUGGAAUUCCGAGUGUAGAGGUGAAAUUCGUAGAUAUUCGGAGGAACACCAGUGGCGAAGGCGGCUCACUGGCUCGAUACUGACGCUGAGGUGCGAAAGUGUGGGGAGCAAA